UAGGGGCAGCCCACAUUUAACCUUUAGGGACUCUAAAAUAUGAGCUAUUGCUGGAGAUGCUCUUACUCUCAUCUCACGCUAGCAGCACCCCUUAUACACAAUUCCAUACUCUUUAACGUAGUAAUUUUUUUAUUUAAAUCCUCCAACCUAUAUAUGUAGCCAUUUUAUAUGGUAGGAUAGAUUCUCAAAAUUUUAUCCAACAUUACCGGUUUCCUCGGAUCUGGAGAGGCCGCGGAGGGCGCAUCAGCACCGAUCGGGAGGAGGCGGCACAAUUCGGCGUGGAGUUGGCAGGCGGCGGCGGGACCAUGGCAGCGACCGAUUCCAUCGUAGCCAGGUAACGACCAAGCCGAGCGCGCGGGAGGUUGCGACGUGCUGCGCAUCUGACAGCGAGGGGAGAUGGGAGACGGGCUCAUCUGACAGCCAACGGAACGGCGGCCCCAGCGACGGCUGGAUCCAUCCAGCACGCGACGGUGGACGGCGGCCCCGGCGACGGUGGGAUCUUUCGCCUAUCCAGAGUGGCCGGAGGCGGAAGCGGAAGAUUGAUACGUCAGAUCUGGCACGAGCAUCACCGCUGGAAACGAAUCCACAUUGGGCGGCAGCCUCUACACCUCAAAAUCGCCGGAUCCAGUACGUCUUUGGUCGUUCCCGUCUCCGGUCGAGAUUGGCGGCGGCUGCUGGUCGUUGGCGGGCACACCCAUCUCUGCAUGUGUUGGUUGGUUGGGCGAGGAGGAUGGUGAUGUCGUCCCCCUCCAUCCCUCCCCUAUAAAAAUGUUGCGGCGCUGGAAUCUAGUGUAGCGCUUCAGUCUUAUGGUGUUGCUAGAUUGGGUUCCGGGUUCUAGCUCCUGCGGGAGGCUGCGAUGGUGAGGAGGUGCGUCGUGGUGGCCACUAGCCAGAUGGUGUGGGAUGCGGUGGCUGCAUGGACGCCUCACUGCCUGUUUGCCUCGUCCAAAAUCUGCUUGCACCAGAUCAGCUCCACGCCCUCAGGCGGUACCUGCUUGCUGCGUGACAGUGAGCUAACGAGAUAAUCAAUGACAUGAAUUGUUGGUUUCCAGUAUCCCAAUCCCUUGUUUUUGUGUUUCUGGUACACUCACUGAGAUUCUGAAACUUCACGCUUCUGUACAUCCACAGGGAUUAGAGACAUUCUGCUCUGAAUGUAUAUUGUUCAUAUGUGGCUCCUGUCUUGCGUCGCCGCCGAGAUUGCUCCUCUGUGUUUGCUCUCUGGCCAUCGAAGGGGGAAGGGGAUCAAGGAGGCUGUAUGUCGUUCAUCGCUAGAAGAGGGCCGGAUUGCUCACCGGAGCUGCUUGCAGAAUUUUGUAGUUAUUUUUAAUGGAAUUACUGUGUAAAUUUUAUUCUGCUUUACAUUUUGCUUCUGUAUAGUCUUGUAUGCGUGAUUGAAUGUUCAAUUCUACACAAGCCUAUAUCGUGGUAAAAAAAUUACCAUCGAGUAAAAUGU